CAAACGGCCCUGGGAUUUUCAACUCUGAAGCAUAAGGCAAGUUAAUGAAGCACCCAAUUCACACCAGCUUUUAUCUGUCAGAGAAACACCAGCAAGCAAGGUAGAGACAACAAGCCAAACCCUGAUGUGCAAGUAUGAACUUCAUGUUAAUUAGGAAUCGGAAGAAUGUGUGGGUUUCUCUAAUGCACUCAUCAUACGAAGCCAGCUGAUUCAAAUGCUCUCAACCUGAGCUUCGGGUCAUUUGUGUUAGCUGUAAGGCCAUCUGAGGCAGAUGCAUUGAACCUGACCUUGAGAGUAUCCUUGACCACUGGACCAAGAGGCCAGAGACUCUACAAGUGUGCUCAGGCCAGAUGGCUAACUCAACUAGUGCCUGGCAGGAAGACUCAAGAUGCCAGCUUCUCCCCUAAACCAUGUGAACAUUCAACCAUUUUAAACUAUAAAAACAGCAAUUUCAACCAAAACACUGGACCUUUGCCUAUUUUACUGGAAGUUUCUCUCUUAGAGUAUGAUGAAAAGAGGAUUGGUUGUAAGAGACCUGGCUGCAAGGCUCAC
rnacentral:lncRNA from 1 species